rnacentral:rRNA from 1 species
GAUGAACGCUGGCGGCGUGCCUAAUACAUGCAAGUCGAGCGAACGGACGAGAAGCUUGCUUUUCUGAUGUUAGCGGCGGACGGGUGAGUAACACGUGGAUAACCUACCUAUAAGACUGGGAUAACUUCGGGAAACCGGAGCUAAUACCGGAUAAUAUUUUGAACCGCAUGGUUCAAAAGUGAAAGACGGUCUUGCUGUCACUUAUAGAUGGAUCCGCGCUGCAUUAGCUAGUUGGUAAGGUAACGGCUUACCAAGGCAACGAUGCAUAGCCGACCUGAGAGGGUGAUCGGCCACACUGGAACUGAGACACGGUCCAGACUCUACGGGAGGCAGCAGUAGGGAAUCUUCCGCAAUGGGCGAAAGCCUGACGGAGCAACGCCGCGUGAGUGAUGAAGGUCUUCGGAUCGUAAAACUCUGUUAUUAGGGAAGAACAUAUGUGUAAGUAACUGUGCACAUCUUGACGGUACCUAAUCAGAAAGCCACGGCUAACUACGUG